rnacentral:rRNA from 1 species
UACGUAGGGGGCAAGCGUUGUCCGGAAUUAUUGGGCGUAAAGCGCGCGCAGGCGGUCAUUUACGUUUGGUGUUUAAUCCCGGGGCUCAACCCCGGGUCGCACUGAAAACUGGGUGACUUGAGUACAGAAGAGGAGAGUGGAAUUCCACGUGUAGCGGUGAAAUGCGUAGAUAUGUGGAGGAACACCAGUGGCGAAGGCGACUCUCUGGGCUGUAACUGACGCUGAGGCGCGAAAGCGUGGGGAGCAAACAGG